rfam:Angiostrongylus cantonensis strain Taiwan genome assembly, scaffold: ACAC_contig0000517
CGAAUCUUUGAUUUCUUGUCAGGGCCUUCAAUAAGACCCAGAGACUAAUUUUUGGGAACCCUUGCUGGAGCAGGGGUUA